rnacentral:rRNA from 1 species
CGCCCUUAGAGUUUGAUCAUGGCUCAGAUUGAACGCUGGCGGCAGGCCUAACACAUGCAAGUCGAGCGGUAGGAGAGCUUGCUCUCCACGAGCGGCGGACGGGUGAGUAAUGUCUGGGAAACUGCCUGAUGGAGGGGGAUAACUACUGGAAACGGUAGCUAAUACCGCAUAACGUCGCAAGACCAAAGCGGUUCGUCGCGCCAUCAGAUGUGCCCAGAUGGGAUUAGCUAGUAGGUGGGGUAAUGGCUCACCUAGGCGACGAUCCCUAGCUGGUCUGAGAGGAUGACCAGCCACACUGGAACUGAGACACGGUCCAGACUCCUACGGGAGGCAGCAGUGGGGAAUAUUGCACAAUGGGCGCAAGCCUGAUGCAGCCAUGCCGCGUGUGUGAAGAAGGCCUUCGGGUUGUAAAGCACUUUCAGCGAGGAGGAAGGCAGUAAGUAAUCUUGCUGAUUGACGUUA